ACGCUCGACACCUACGGGAGGCAGCAGUGGGGAAUAUUGCACAAUGGGGGAAACCCUGAUGCAGCAACGCCGCGUGAGUGAAGAAGUAUUUCGGUAUGUAAAGCUCUAUCAGCAGGGAAGAUAAUGACGGUACCUGACUAAGAAGCUCCGGCUAAAUACGUGCCACAGCCGCGGUAAUCUGAGCGGGCUGGCAAGGC
rnacentral:rRNA from 1 species